UCGGCCGCGCCUAUAUAUAGGAGCCCUCCGAGCUCGUCCAGCCACACCACCCACCUUCUCUGAUCUCCACACUUCUUGUAGAAGGCCACGGCCAGGCCAGGCGGGCCUCUGGCCGCCGUUUCGCAUCGGAGAUCGCCGCCGAUCCCCUCUCGGUGCCCUACUUCCUCCGACGCUCCUCGAUGUCUUCCACCUCCUCUGGCGUGUUCGUGGUGUUCUCCUAGUCGUGUUGGUGCUGCUGGAGCUGCCGGAAUGCCCCUACCUUGCCAGAAUCCUCAACUCCGACGAACCGCCUUCACCGACGCCUCUGGAGACGACCACCACGAUGCUGUCCUCCACCUCUGACUGAGCUAUUGGUACGUGUGUGUUCACCGUGAAGUGCCACGUCCAUCUAUCCACUCGCCGGCGACAGCCGUGGCCUCCUCACCGGAGAACCACCGACGACCGAGCGCCGUCCCCUGCCUCUCUCUCUCUCUCUCUCUCUCUCUCUAACCCUGCUAGUGGGGCCCGCCUGUCAGCCUCACUGUUCGCCCGCCAAAGCGGUAUAAGUGGAAGUGUAUUCCACAAAUACGCUUUCGACGUCACCCCCUCUGGUUAUUUUCAAAAAUCAGUUUAAUUUAUAAAAUUGACCAAACUUUGACCAACUCUAGAUUCUAUUCUACAAGUCCAAAUGAGAUGAUUCUUUUUGCAUUGGUUUGUUUUUUUAGCUCCUCUUUUAGCAUGCAAAAUAUGAGAUUUUUGCUUGCUGUAAAUCUUUUCUGGUGUAUUUAAAAGUGUUAUGUGACAUUUUCUUUUUGCCAUUUUCAUUGUUUUCAGAGGGAACUUGCUGCCUUGAGGAGAACCAGGAGGAGUGUGAACCUCCUCUGCACUAAGGCAAGCCAUCACAAAUAUUUGCAAGAGUGUCAUUUCAAUAAGUAUGAUUUUCACUUGAAUAUGGUCCCAUAUAAUGCAUAUAGAAAAAGAUGAGAUUUUUGCUUGCUGUAAAUCUUUUCUGGUGUAUUUAAAAGUGUUAUGUGACAUUUUCUUUUUGCCAUUUUCAUUAUUUUCAGAGGGAACUUGUUGCCUUGAGGAGAACCAGGAGGAGUGUGAACCUCCUCUGCACUAAGGCAAGCCAUCACAAAUAUUUGCAAGAGUGUCAUUUCAAUAAGUAUGAUUUUCACUUGAAUAUGGUCCCAUAUAAUGCAUAUAGAAAAUUAAAUAAUAUAACUUGUGCUAGUUUCAUUUCCGUGCUAUGCUUGUAAUGUUUUCAGUGUUAUUUAAGUUGUUUGGUUAAGGUUAUGCAGUAGGGUAACAUGAUCAUGAGCACGAGUAAGUUCAUACCGGUAUUAUGUUGAAAUGGUGCAUAUAUAUAGGUCAUUGCAUUUUCAUGGCAUACUAUGACUCAGAAAUAAUUCUUUGCAAGUUGAAACCUAAUAAUAAUCCAACUUGAACAUGUUGUUGAUCGAGUCAUGGUGUCACCGAAUCGAGCUUCCCAGUGCAACCACAUGUGCCUUUAUGGGGAGGCCCUUUCUCGUUCUGUUGUUAUGCCUCUCGCCGGUGCCUCCAACUAGGGAAGGUUAUGCGCUUGCGCUACCCUGGCCUGGUAGGCAGGCAUAGCCUUGUGUGCUCGUAGUUGAUUUGGUACCAUUAUCUCCAUUUGGGAUCGUUUGUUUUGCCACGACGGUGGUCGUUGGGUGUCAUGAGGUGACAUCGGGGCCACCCAGGACUUAGCCCAAAGGGGAGUUGGUCGGAGUGGCUGGGAGAGUGUCAUGGCAAUAGAUUGGUUCUGUUGGAACGUCGUUGGUCCACCCUAAUGGGAGUUCGAGGCAAUGGGUUCUGUGGUGUAGGUAUAAUGUACUACCUAUGCAGAGUGUGUUUAAUCUAUCGAUAGAUGCAUCCUCGGUCAUGGACACAAUUCAUAGUAGGUCACACCGUGGAUCAACAGAAAUACUGAACCUGCACACUAAAGUUAUACUUGUGGCACUUGUUAUGUUGGUGGAGUUGUUGAGACCGUCAAGAUGGUUUCUUUUGUGAUCCGGAGGUGAUCACCGUGGUAAGAUGUUCAUGGUUCCGAGGUAACCAAGAUGGUAAGCGGGUCUGAGAGACUCCGUUUGCGGGCACGGUCACUUCAUGAGUAGCAUGCUUAGUUCUUGCAUUGAACCUGCUUAAAUAUCAUGUUGUUGUUUGCCAUUGUUGCUUUAUUUGUGUGAGCUUGUGAGUACAUUCAAAGUACUUACCUGGCGUGUCAUGCUAGUUUCAGGAGAAGUCAUACCGUAGUUGGAGUUGCAUCGUUGCAUCGCAGUCUAGACCGUGUCCACAUCGGUGUCCUUGUGAGAUGGAGUUCCUCUACGUCGUCGUUCCGCUGCCGCGUAGCUUUAUUGUCGUGCUCGAGGUCCCUAUCAUGUUCAUUAAAUAAUGUACAUAUGUGCAACAGCACCGUGUGUGCCGCUUGGCCUCGCUAUCUGAUGUACUAUCAAACCUAUGCUUCAAUAAAGUGGUUGUCUUUCUGUACCAAGUUAUUGUGUGUUGCCAGAAGACAUGAUCCAUGGGUUGGCAAUGCAACGUAAACCGGUUGCUCUGAGCUGGGGUGCCACAGAGUAGCACCAAAAUCAUGCCAUCCAAGCCACCGCCGAUGGGCACCACCACAACAGCAUGACAAUUCUGAUUUUGGCAAAAGUUGUCAUCAUUCCUAGACUAUUUAAGUUGUUAUAGGUGAUGAUGGUGACAUUGUUCAUUGUCCGCUAGUUUUUAGGGCCAUAUUAAAGACUUAGGGUGGUAAUACAUUCAUAGAGGACGAGUUCCUGCACUCUCACUGGGACAGAAGCAAUGAGUUCUUCAUCACCCGAUCGUCUGGCCUCAGCAGCAAGUUCAUGACCCACCUUGUUACACUCCCUAGUAGCAUGUCCGACUAGUUUUUUUUAAUACGGGAAGGGGACCAAAAGGUCGCCAAAGCUAUUGGUUAUUACAUUAAAUAAAAGUGAUACAAAACUAUAAGGACACUAAAAGAAACAGAAAUUACAACCACAUCCUCUCUUUUUGCAAACAAGACUUCGUCAUAGCUAUUUUGCCACCAACCCUGGUUGAACCUUGCCAUCACCCAGCGAAGGAACGAGGGCCUCACCAUGGAGGUUGGAUAGGGUAUGCCGGAACUUGCUUGUUUGAUCUCUUGUUCCAAAGGUUGAUCUUGAUGUGGGGGAAGAAGAUUGACAUAUAAGCAUCCACGCAGCUUCGAAGUCCCUAAGGAUACGAGAUAUGAAUGGGGAAACAUCUAUCCACCCUCCUUCUUUCCGCCUAUAUGACGAUGGAGAAGGAGGAGAGUGAAAGCCCGAUGCAUCGAAUCCACCACUCCAUGAAGCUUGCUAAGGGAUAGAACAAAAAACAAACUUCCUUCCUACUUCUCUAGCCUCCACGGCCGCGGAGAGGAAGGAACAAUCCACUAGCAACCGAUGCCACCCGUAGGCACUAGAAUACAUCUAAACCGCAACGCUAGUUGCCACCAAGGCUAUCCUAUAAUACUCAUAAACCUAGCCCUAACAUCUACAAUGACAACCCCGCCACCUCUCCCACCCCCCUGCUAGCUGAUGACGCCGCCCGAGGAAGAGGGAAGAGGAGCUAAGAAGCUUCAGGGCGACUCUCAAGAUGUGGAGGGGACAAAAUGAGGGGCCUCCAUUACCUCUCCCACGUCCCUCUUUAUUUUCCAUGUGGCGGUUAUAUAUGGGUUUGAUCAAAUAAGGAAAAAGCGAAGUGGGUACUUAACCUCAUUUUAUACGAAAAAACUACAUUAUACUGAACUUGUUCUAUAGUUUUUUUAGUUAGAUAAAUAAUAAAAUACACAAAACAAAUCAAUCGAUCAUGUAACAAAUUAUCCCUCGAAACGCUAAAGGUGACCUUGGCAACUUUAGAUAUACGGUACCACACACACACUUCUUUCAAACAUGUUUUCAACCUUCCUCACUUCAACCAAAACAUUGGCACCAUUCAAUGACAACUCCAUCAAAUUACUUAGGGUCGUUCAUUUUUAUAGUCCAUCAAAUUAAGGUUGGUGGCCCCGCUAUUCUUUUACAGUACAUCAAAUUACUUAGGGCCGUUCAUUUUUCCCACAUACCAGGGCUUCUGCCCUCUACUGUUCCAGACCAUGUUGCCAUCUUCACCAUCUUUGAUGACACUUGCAGAUUUCUUCAAGGCUAGCUAGUUCUGAAAAUCAGCAGGCUCCUACUCACCUGGUCACCAUCGUCGUCACCAUCGUCGCGGCCAUGGUCCUCCUAUCGGCCUUGCUAAAUUUAUCGCGUUUACUUCACUAAUACAACAUACCAACAUGAGACCAAAGGCCAAGAUAUUUAACUGAGGGGGGCCAGAACUUGUUUAUGGGAGGGAUCACAUGAGAAUUUUUCUGAGUCCUUUUACAGUACAACAAAUUACUUAUGACCGUUCAUUUUUCCCAACCAACUGUCUAGAAUAGGCAAUACUGUAGAAGAAUUCUAGUAGUAUAAUCAGGCUUCAAGGACAUUUGGGGUAGUUAAUUACUAUAAAUCCUACAAUUGUUUCCAUCAGAAGCAAGCUAAAGAGACUAGAUUAGAAUUUGAGGAUCGAUCCAACCAUUCAUUGAUUGAUUAUGGGUGUUGUCGGUCUGCACAUUGUUUAGAUGUACAGUGACAACCCCGCCACCUCUCCCACUCCCGUGCUAGCUGACAACACCACAAGGAAGAGGGAAGAGGAGCUAAGAAGCUUCGUGGAGACUCUCAAGAUGUGGAGGGCACAAAAGGAGGGCCCUCCAUUACCUCUCCCAUGUCCCUCUUUAUUUGCCUUAGCCUGAUUUUAUAUAGAAAAAACUAAUCCCUCCGCCCCAAAAUAAGUGUCUCAAUUUGUACAACUUUUCUAUAGUUUUUUCAGUGAGACAAAUAAUAAAUAUACAAAACAAAUUAACCAAGCAUGUACUCCCUUCGUAAAGAAAUAUAAGAGCAUUUAGACGACUAAAGUAGUGAUCUAAACGCUCUUUUAUAUUUCUACACAGAGGGAGUAACAAAUUAUCCCUGGAAAUGCUAAAGGUGACCUCGGGAAGUUUAGAUAUCCUGUACCACACACUUCAAACAUGUUUUCAAGCUUCCCCACUUCAGCAAAAACAUCGGCCCCAUUCCAUGGCAACUCCAUAUCAGUUUGGUGUUUUUAAGAACACCAUUUCCAUUAGCUAGACUACAAUGUUAUCAGACAACAUUAAUACAACAUCCGAUGCAGCCACAUAUAGAAAAAAUACACUAAUCUAAAGCCAGCAAAAGAAGAGUAAAUUUAGUGUUCGUCACAGGAUUCCAGCAAUAUUUAUCUCCCUUUUGCUGACAUAGGAGGAACAGAGUUCCAAUCCUCACAGCCCUCUGAUGCUACCGACGAAGGUUCAUUUGAUUUAACUCAUGGUGAUAAUAGGUUUCGGUUUCUCCUCCUCCUUGUUCUCAGCCGCUACAGCAUGCGGUCUGCGCUGAUGCUGCACAACCGCGAGCUGAUCCACAAAAAGCAGUUCCCGUAAGUGAUGGAGCUGCUCCCUCUCUUUCUCCAUAAGCAGCUCUUUCUGCUCAAAACGGCUUAUCUUAUCCUGGAUUUCCUUCAUCUGAGGAUGAUUUAAAGCAAUAGAUAACAAGUCAAUAUAGACACCAACUUUUAAGCAGUAAUAUCUUGAAACCCCUAUCUUGAUACCUGGACGUCCACUAUGGCCGAUAAAGAUUGCUCUAUAUCUUUUUGCUCCUUUUGAAGUUGCACUUGUGCAUUUGUGGAUGCCUCUUUGAGUAAAUCGUUGGCUGAAAGCCCAUUAGUGUAAGAAGAUUCUGCAGAGAAAACUAAUUGAGCCAAGAGAAGAGCCUUUUGAAUAUUCAAAGUAUUUCUAAGAAAGAAUGGCAAACUAAAUCACGGUGUGCAUUUCAGCAUGUAGCAGCAAGAAUGUGAAUUUGAAUCGCGCCACAUAAGGAACUUGGAUACAGGCCCACAGCCUAUUCUUUGCACAUGCACCAAUUAUGACUUAUCUUGCUGCUCCCGGCACCAGUAGUGAAUUAUGUGAAAUGUAGCAAAACUAUCAAAUACAUGUACGCAUUCAUGUAAAAACAAUUAUGUGAAAUUUAUUGAUAACCAUGUAUUUGACCCUACAGAGUUAGGGGACUGGCACCGCCACUGCCUAGCGCAUUACUUGAGCACUCUUGUUACCACACCCGUCAAAUUAUCAUUGUUUGAACAGUGACAAGCAAAGCAGUAUGUUCAUCAACAAUGCAACAUCGAUAAGAUAUAUGGGUUAGAGAGCACAAGUUGCUACCUUCUUCUUUAGUGCUGCUGAUUGGAGAAUCAGUCUGGCUGUCAUUCAUAUCAACCUGGGAUUGUGCAGAAAUAGCUGCUUGCGCUGCUGCCGCCGCAACACCUGAGCCAACAAUUGCCGACAAGAACGCGACCUGGUAAAACAAUGCAGUUCCAUGAUUUGCUCCAUCAAUAAAUUUCCACGUUCAAACUAGAUGACCAUAUAAGGCAGCUAUUCAGGCAUGAUGGGGACCAGCAUGUACACUUGUUUUGUGUACACAUGUGCAAAAAUUCUAUGAAUAGAAAAUUCAGGAAUUAUUUUUAAUUUCCUUGUCAAAAAACUCGUAGUGUUUCGUGUCUGAAGAAAAGAACAUAACUUAUACAUCAGAACCUGAACGUAUUCAAGUACAGUACGUGUUUUCCAUCUGUUCACAUGAAUAGCACAGCAUAAGUGGAAUGCUCAAGAUAUACUACAAGUUACUACUAAUUAACACAAAGACUAAGUUAUACUCCCUCUGUCCCAAAAUUAGUGUCUUAACUUUAGUACUCCCUCCGUCCGAAAAAGCUUGUCCCUCAAAUGGAUGUAUCUAGCAUCAAAUUAGUGCUAGAUACACCCAUUUGAGGGACAAGCUUGGGACAAGCUUUUUCGGACGGAGGGAGUACAACUCUAAGCUAUAGAUUACCAUGCUCUAUGAUUACUGCUGCAACACUUGAUAUAGUAAGUUAGCAACAUGUGACAUCCACAUGUGGUACCAAAACCGAAUUGUACUACAAACUGAUCGUUACAUGUUAUCAUUUCAUCAAGUACAAAACAAGAGAAGAUACCCCGCGCGUUGCUGCAGGAAUGUGUUGCAAUUAUUUCAGUGAUAUUUAGUUAUAUGAAACAUCACUAUAGGAACUAAUAAUAUGAGAAAUGAAACUAAAAUACAUACUCCCUCCGUCCCAAAAUAAGUGUCUUGAGCUUAGUACAAAUUUGUACUAGAGCUAGUACAUAGUUGAGACACUUAUUUUAGGACGGAGGGAGCAUAAUUUAUUGUAUUUGAUGAUUAUAUAGUUGUAGAAUAUUUAAUGAAUAUAAGUAGCAUGCAGCAUGGUGCAUAUUAAGGUGAGCCUUUUCCCAUGCAUGGUGGUAUGUUGAGUUGGCAUAGUUGCAUGUUAAGGGAACUAAGUUAUUGGGGAUCAAUUAUAUAGGUAUAUAUAGGAUGAGUGAGAAGUGCCCUACUCUUAUGAAUCAUUAAUUUUGAAUACUGAACUGCUUGUACCAGUCAAGGGAGUUAGCACCUACAAAAACUGGGCAAAGUCACAGAUACAGACCUGAGCCAUAAUUGGAUUGCUUGCAUCUGCCAGUGGUGUGAGACGGAGUCGUUUUGGGAUCUCUGCUCUAGAUUCAUUAGUAACAUCAUCAUCAAUCUCAAACUCCAUUUUCUGCUCCUUGGAUCCCAUGAACUGUUCUCCAAAAGAUAAUCGGAUGAGUCUAGCAAUGCAGUCUUUCUCUGAGCGACUACCAACAUGCUCCGAAACCUUCUUCCAGUCUUCUCCAUAAUGCAAGACAGCCUCAAGUAGGUGAAGAGUUUCCUUGUCUGUCCAAUCUGAUUUGGCGUCUUCGCUAAUUUCAACUUUCUUGAAGUCCGCUGGAGUAAGACCAGGCCGAUAGUUGCCACGCACAAAGCAUCUACAACAUAUGCUUAUAUCCGCCUGAUCAUAAGCAAAAGUUAAGGAUAGAAAAUAGCAACUCUUCUAAUUAAAAUAGACAACAAAUUGAUAACAGUUCCAGCUAAAAUAUAAAGAAUGAUGUGAUGACAGUAGCUCAACUGAUAAAUAUAGCAGUCAUGGACAUAAAACAAAAUCAAGAGGCAAACACAGGCCAAAUAAAGUGUUCCAAGCUUCACAGACUCAAAAGUUAAAAUGGAUGAAAUUACUACACUGUUUGCAAAUAUUUAAUACUCCCUCCGUCCGGAAUUAGUUGACGCUCAAACAGAUGUAUCUAUUUAGCACUGAAAUAGAUACAUCUGUUUCAGCGUCAACUAAUUCCGGACGGAGGAAGUAUAUGAUUUGUGAUAAUACCCUCCCGUUCAUGGCAUGUUUAAGUGAACUGGAAGUAGUUCAAAAUGAGCUGUAGUAAUCCAUCUAACAACGUCAACCCAAGAGUGGCAAUGCGCAAAGACACAGUAGUACAGUACAAAUAAAAACAAAAGUUUGACAAUACAAUAUUCAUAUGAAGAGCAAGUACACUUGACUUAAAUUUAUAAGCAACUGUAUACAUACAUAUGCAAUUACCAGUUCCCAAAACAAAAGAUACACCAUUAAGUUAUCAGUUUGCUCAUCUGUCCCAGCGCCCUUUCUAUGGCACAAUAUCAAACCAGCUAAGCCAAAACCAAAGAUCAACCAGGAAUAUCUCCAAUCCGAGCACACAAAUUUCUCAACACAUGGGCAAACUCAUAAGUAGCGAACAAACGCUACCCCGUGGCUUUCUCUAUCAGAUUAAGAACCCUUUACAAGAUCUGCCUGGACGUUAAAGAUACCAGGAUAGGUUGGGAUGGUGUCAGGUUUAGAAGAACUUUAACUGGUGAGAUUUUGGAGAUUUGGGAAGAAGUUAGGGACUUGCGUGAGCAUAUUGAACUUACUAAUGUGGCGGAUUCAGUUAACCGGACACUAGAUCCAGCACAUUGUUUGUGAGGCAGUGCGGACAGUUUUGCUUGUGGCUGUGCUUUUCACUAGCUUGUGUAUGGUAGUUUGUAAGGUUGCGCUAUAGGAUAUUCUGUUUUCCGUCGUUGGUUUGCUGGUAGACAUUGCCUUUUGUUUUCUUUCCUUACUUAUCUUCUGGCCUGUGUACCAGUUACUUUCCUGUUUACUUUCGUUGUACUGAACUGCUUUGAUUUCUGGUAAUGAAACCAGGGUUUUUCCCCUUGUUAAAAAGAAAACCGUUCCCCAAUUACAUUGCAUAAAUAAUAUGAAUAUCCAUAAUUUGCGACUUAAUGUAGUGCUUUUUAUAAUGGCACAAAACCCAAAGAGGUCGCUAUAGCCAAUUGGAAAUACUCAUAUGGAUGAGCUAAGAUAGUUCUAACCAGAUACUACAAAUGAUGCAUACGAUGCACAUAUUACAUAACCUGAAAUGCAAGUUUACACAGCACUUGAAAAUCAAAACAAUGGCAAAUCACUCACCUUAUCGCAGGUGAAAUAUGCAGAGCCGCAGACGCUCCGGCACCCUACACAGAGCUUCUUGGGUGUGGUUGGUCCGGCAGGCAAUGAAGACUGAGAAGUCGUCGCCUCCUCCCUCUUGUCUUUCCCCUGCUUCGCCCCCAGCGCAGGAGCACCAUGGUUGAUGAGCCCCCAUUCCUCCAGGAAGUCAAACACACGGCGCACAGAGCCAACGUCGCCGAUAAGGCCUCGCCUGGCCUCGGUGAGCGUGAGCCGCCGCGCUGGCCUUGCCCGGAACCUCUUGACGAGGGUGUUGCGGUAGUACUUGUAGGCCUCCGGGCCCCGGGACCCAGACACGGCCGCGACCUCCCCUUCGAAGAACUCCGGCAACAGGCGGCGCUCCGUGUCGCUGAUGCUGUCGUAGGAGAACCACCCUGCAAGCGGAGCCCUCGGUCAGGUAGGGUUCUAGGUCUUCGCGUUCACUAGACGCNNNNNNNNNNNNNNNNNNNNNNNNNNNNNNNNNNNNNNNNNNNNNNNNNNNNNNNNNNNNNNNNNNNNNNNNNNNNNNNNNNNNNNNNNNNNNNNNNNNNNNNNNNNNNNNNNNNNNNNNNNNNNNNNNNNNNNNNNNNNNNNNNNNNNNNNNNNNNNNNNNNNNNNNNNNNNNNNNNNNNNNNNNNNNNNNNNNNNNNNNNNNNNNNNNNNNNNNNNNNNNNNNNNNNNNNNNNNNNNNNNNNNNNNNNNNNNNNNNNNNNNNNNNNNNNNNNNNNNNNNNNNNNNNNNNNNNNNNNNNNNNNNNNNNNNNNNNCCUCGGCUGAGGCUCCCACGGCGGCGACUCCGGCGGCGGUGGCGGCGGAGGUGGAGGCGGGAGGGAUCUCCGUCUUUAGGGUACCGGCAGUGGACGGGGGCUGGGAGAAGGGUGGGGCCUUGAACGGUGACUGCGUAGGCGUCGGCGCGGAGUUGGCGGUGGCCGGGGGCACCGGAGCCGGCGGUGUGGCCAUCGGAGACGGGGCAGCCGGUGGAGCGCUCUCUCUCGGUCCGUUUCCUCCGACGCUGCUGCUAAGCGUGUAGUUUGGGCCUUAUCUUUUUUACUCGCAACGAGGCCGUUACUCGCAACGAGGCCGUCAACACUACACGCUUACCUUUCGCUGCCCUGCCUCGCUUAUCUUUUUUACUCGCAACGAGGCCGUUAGUCCCACCUCGCCUGCGCUGAGCGGAGGGAGCCGGGAGAGGUGUAUAAAACGAGAGGCAGGGCAGCGAAAGAAGUCAUACCUUUGUCGGCCUUUUGGCUAAGAUCAAGUGUAGUAUCUGUUCUUAUCAGUUUAAUAUCUGAUAUGUGGGCCAUAUGCCCACAAUGAUAUUAAAUUUAUUUUUUAUGAGGGUGGGUCCAUCACAGUAGCUUGCUGCUGGGGCUCAUAUGUGUCGCUUGGAUGUUGCACCGCUGCCCUGGCCUGGUGCACCCCAACCAAAACAAAUCAAACUUUUUUUCAUAAAGCAUACAAAACAACCUGUUCUUUCCUCUCAAGGAAAUAACUGUUCUUUGGCUUCCUCACCUUUGCUAAUCUCAAUUCUCAAACAAAGUAAAUGGUAAACAAACAAUGUGGGCCUAAAUAUGAAAAGAGACUAUAUAUGAAAAGAGCAAUUACUACUAUAUAGAUAAGCCGGGGAGAUGCCCCGCACCUCUUAUACAAUUACAAAAACCCAGUGACAACGAUACAUUUUUCCAACUCAGUGCCAACAAUACUUGUUUAAUCAUACCAUUUCAAGGUAUCAUAGUGUUAUUCACGCAUUCUAAUCAACUGACUAGAAGUACAGACCAGCAUGCCGCCUGAAUGAUUACAUAUGACAAACAUUACAAUGUUUUCGCACCACCACUUGACAUGAGUGAGGCGGCGGCAGCAGCAGCGGUCGGGACGAUUCCAGUUGAAUUGCCUGGUUUGGAGAGAUGCAGCAGCCUGCAACAAUGUUCGUGGUCCCACGUGAGUGACGAUUAUUCAAAAGAAGACGCGUGGAGAUUAUCGAACUGAGGUAUCAAAAUUCAGGUUGAGCGUACUUACGGUGCUAGAUAUUCACAGAACGAGGUGACAGCUGAAACAACAUCAUUGUAAUUGUUAGCAGCGGCUGGAGCUGUGAUCUCCACCAGCUGUAUUCCAGGAGUGACCUGCACAGCUUCGUCGGUCGCAUGGAGCUUUGGCAUCUUGUUGGCAGAAGUCACAGUCACGGUGAACUGGGCACCUCGCUGGAAGCGAAACGCAAAGCCAACCUUCAAGAUUUCAUGAUCUAACUUGUAGCCGAUGCCGUAGAAGUAACGCAACACAUUGCUGCUGGCUUUGCUUUCUACGAUUGUACGCACAAGAAUUGAGAUUUGCUCUGCACCGGCACCUCUCAUGGCACCACCAACAUGUCUUAUGGUCCUACAUACAAAUAUUACCAGCUGCAGAUUAGUGUAAAAUUACGAGGAAGAGUAAAUUUCAGCAGCUUAACACAAUCAGUUACCAGGAUGGUGUAGGCUGCGCUAAAUCACACAACAAACGAACCUCUGAUGGGACAGCUCCUGUACGACUGAAAGAGGUCAGCAGAUAUAACAAUUGCUUUUUUGCUAAAAAAGAAACAAUUGCUUCUGAUCCUGACGACAGAAAGAUAAAAAAACUAACCUAGCAUUGGUACACUUUUAAGACAGAGCUCAUGCACCCUCACACGUUCCUUUGGGACACCAGAGAGGCCCUGGAGAAGAACCUCCAGAGCUUCAACAUGCUGCAUAGUGCAUACCCAAAGGAAAAAAAAAA
rnacentral:lncRNA from 1 species